AGGAGUCACUAAGGCCUGGUCUACACUAGUCUGUUAUUUCAGAAUUAGCUGAGUUAAUUUAAAAAAAAAAAAUUCCGUCCAUACGACCAAAUGUUUUUUUUCGAUUUAAAGGGCUCUUUAAUCCGCUUUCUGUACUCCACCUCGGCAAGUGGAGUAGCACUUAAAUCGAGCUUGCAAUCCUGGGUUAAAGGUAUUGUGGACGCAAUUUGACGUUAUUGGCCUCCGGGAGCUAUCCCAGAAUGCUCCCUUGUGACCGCUCUGGACAACGCCCCAACUCCGAUGCACUAGCCAGGUGGGCAGGAAAAGCCCUGGGAACUUUUUAAUUUCAUUUCCUUUUUGGUCACCAUCAGCACAGGUGACCAUCAGCACAGUCCACCAUCACAGGCGACCAUGCGGAGUCCACCAUCACAAGAGAUCGCACAGUCCUGGAUUUUCAGACAAGCUCCAGCAUGGUCCGAAUGGGAGGUACUGGAUCUCAUUGCAUGUUGGGGAGACAAAUCUGUUAUGGCAGAACUACGUUCCAAAAAAAGGAACGCAAAUAUGUACGCUAAAGUCUCCAGGGCCAUGUUGGAAAGAGGCUACUCCAGGGACAUAGAGCAGUGUCGUACAAAAAUCAAGGAGCUCAGGCAAGUGUACCAAAAAGCCAGGGAGACAAAUGGGUGCUCUGGGUCAUAGCCCCAUACAUUCUGCUUCUAUCGUGAGCUGCAUGCAAAUAAUGGGGGUGAUGCCACCAUUACCCCACCACUGUCUAUGGACACCUGCAAGGGGGGAGUUGCACAGAGUGAGGAGGAAGAGUCAUUGGAGGAGGAGGACAGUGCACAGGGGGCAAGUGGGGAAUCCAUUUUCCUCCCUAGCCAGGAACUAUUCUUAACGCUGGCGCCAAUAGCCUCCCUCCCAACUCCCAAGGCGGGCUCCCGGACCAUGACUCUGGAGGAGGUACUUCUGGUGCAAAUGUUUCAACGUGGCCCCUAUCUACUCCGUCCCAGAGGCUGGGCCAGAUUAGAAGGCGGAAAAAACAAACUCAGGACGACAUGUUCGCCGAGCUCAUGCAGUCCUCCCGCACUGAUAGGGCCAAGCUGAAUGCGUGGAGGCAAACAAUAGCGGAGUCCCGUAAAGCAUUACAGGAACACGAAGAGAGGAGGGAUGUGUGCGAUGAGAGCAGGCAGGACGCUAUGGUCAAGCUCAUGGGGAAACAAACUGACAUGCUCUGCUGUAUGGUGGAUCUAAUGUGGGAAAGGCAGCAAGACCACAGACUGCUGCUGCAGCCCCUGUAUACCCACCCUCCGUCCUCCCCAAGUUUCAUAGCCUCCUCACCCAGAUGCCCAAGAACACGAGGGGGGAGGCUACAGGGACCACACACUCCACCCCAGAGGAUCGCCCAAGCAGCAGAAAGCUGGCAUAUGCGAACUUUUGAUUUGGUUUCUGGACUUGUCCUUCCCUCCUUCUCCACCCCCCUAACCCAAUACGCCCCCUCCCCCAGUCUACCUUCUGAUUUCUCUGAGUGUGUUGUGCAACAAAUAAUAAAGAACAGUUUUUAAACAA